UGCCUACGGGUGGCAGCAGUGGGGAAUAUUGGGCAAUGGGCGAAAGCCUGACCCAGCCAUGCCGCGUGAGUGACGACGGCCUUAGGGUUGUAAAGCUCUUUUGGCGGGGACGAUAAUGACGGUACCCGCAGAAUAAGCCCCGGCUAACUUCGUGCCAGCAGCCGCGGUAAUACGAAGGGGGCUAGCGUUGUUCGGAAUCGCUGGGCGUAAAGCGCACGUAGGCGGACUUUCAAGUCAGGGGUGAAAUCCCGGGGCUCAACCUCGGAACUGCCUUUGAUACUGUUGGUCUCGAGUCCGGAAGAGGUGGGUGGAAUUCCUGGUGUAGAGGUGAAAUUCGUAGAUAUUAGGAAGAACACCGGUGGCGAAGGCGGCCCACUGGUCCGGUACUGACGCUGAGGUGCGAAAGCGUGGGGAGCAAACAGGAUUAGAUACCCCGGUAGUC
rnacentral:rRNA from 1 species